rnacentral:rRNA from 1 species
AGCUAGUUGGUGGGGUAAAAGCUCACCAAGGCGACGAUCUGUAGCGGGUCUGAGAGGAUGAUCCGCCACACUGGAACUGAGACACGGUCCAGACUCCUACGGGAGGCAGCAGUGGGGAAUUUUGGACAAUGGGGGCAACCCUGAUCCAGCCAUGCCGCGUGAGUGAAGAAGGCCUUCGGGUUGUAAAGCUCUUUCAGCCGGGAAGAAAACGCAUCGGCUAAUACCUGGUGUGAAUGACGGUACCGGAAUAAGAAGCACCGGCUAACUACGUGCCAGCAGCCGCGGUAAUACGUAGGGUGCGAGCGUUAAUCGGAAUUACUGGGCGUAAAGCGUGCGCAGGCGGUUUUGUAAGACAGGCGUGAAAUCCCCGGGCUUAACCUGGGAACUGCGUUUGUGACUGCAAGGCUAGAGUACGGCAGAGGGGGGUGGAAUUCCACGUGUAGCAGUGAAAUGCGUAGAGAUGUGGAGGAACACCAAUGGCGAAGGCAGCCCCCUGGGUCGAUACUGACGCUCAUGCACGAAAGCGUGGGUAGCAAACAGGAUUAGAUACCCUGGUAGUCCACGCCCUAAACGAUGUCAACUAGGUGUUGGGAGGGUAAAACCUUUUAGUACCGGAGCUAACGCGUGAAGUUGACCGCCUGGGGAGUACGGCCGCAAGGUUAAAACUCAAAGGAAUUGACGGGGACCCGCACAAGCGGUGGAUGAUGUGGAUUAAUUCGAUGCAACGCGAAAAACCUUACCUACCCUUGACAUGUCAGGAACUUUCCAGAGAUGGAUUGGUGCUCGAAAGAGAACCUGAACACAGGUGCUGCAUGGCUGUCGUCAGCUCGUGUCGUGAGAUGUUGGGUUAAGUCCCGCAACGAGCGCAACCCUUGUCGUUAAUUGCCAUCAUUAAGUUGGGCACUUUAGCGAGACUGCCGGUGACAAACCGGAGGAAGGUGGGGAUGACGUCAAGUCCUCAUGGCCCUUAUGGGUAGGGCUUCACACGUCAUACAAUGGUCGGUACAAAGGGUUGCCAACCCGCGAGGGGGAGCUAAUCCCAUAAAGCCGAUCGUAGUCCGGAUUGCAGGCUGCAACUCGCCUGCAUGAAGUCGGAAUCGCUAGUAAUCGUGGAUCAGCAUGUCACGGUGAAUACGUUCCCGGGUCUUGUACACACCGCCCGUCACACCAUGGGAGCGGGUUCCGCCAGAAGUAGGUAGCCUAACCGCAAGGGGGGCGCUUACCACGGCGGGGUUCGUGACUGGGGUGAAGUCGCAACAAGGUAGCCGUAGGAGAACCUGCGGCUG